UGUGCUCACAUCGAAUGUUUGGUCUCCAUAAACAUGCUGCAAGUACCUAUGGAUGUCAUUGGAUGCAAUUUUUUCCUCACAGAGAAAUUAAAUUCUGUAGCUUUACUUCAUCUGCAUUUCUAUGCGAAACACCAUUUUGUCAGACUGCCCAUCUGCUGCCAUCUGUCACAUGACAACAAAAUGCAUUGGUGGAAAGUUUUAACCUUGACUGCCAUAUCACCAACAUGUGCUUCUGAUGAUGUUGGCCAGAGUCCUGAAAGAAUUGGCUGAUGUAUUUGCCAAACAACUCUCACUGAUAUUUGAAAUGUCAUGGUGGUCAAGUGAAUUCUCUGGUGACUGAAAAAAGGCAAUUCACACCAUUUUUAAACAGGAUAGAAAGGAUGAGCCAGGACACUAUGAACAUGCCAGUCUCACUUCCGUGCUGCAGAAGAUUGUGGACAGAUCCUCCUGGAAGCUAUGCUAAGGCACAUGGAAGAGAGGAAAGUAAUAUAGGACAAUCAUCAUGGCUUCACCAAAGUCAAAUCCUGCUUAACCAAUCUAGGGGCCUUCUAUGGUGGGGUAACUGCAACAGUGGACAAAGGAAGAGCCACUGAUGUCAUCAAUCUGGACUUCAGAGGCCUUUGAUGUAGUCCCCCACAACAUCCUUCUCUCCAAUUUGGAAAGGUAAGACUGGAUUUCUUCAAUCAAAGCAGAAGAAAGCACAGGCUGAUAUCGUGUUUUUCAUGCUGAAUCUUCAGUUACACAUGUGAAGUGGAACAACUGAACAGAGAGGACAAAAAUAAUGGAGUCAUAUCCAGAAAUACUCAACAGACUGCUGCUCAUCAGAAGACUAGGAGGUACAGACUAAAAUCUCGGAGGUCAGGAGAAAGAUUACAUCCAACAGAUCAGCUAAAGAGCUGAAUAAUAAUAAAAAAUUGCUAUCAAGAGCUGCUGGCUUAUUUUACAAGACACAAGUGUAUGAGCUAGUGAGAGUUUCAAGAACAGUGAACAGAACGUGGAGAGAUUCACAUUCAUUCAGCUAGAGAUCACUUCCUAAUUCACUUUGAAUGGUGCUUCUUACAACUUUGUUUGAAAACAUCCCAUUCAGCAGCCUAGAUUCAAUCAGUUUCAGGCAGAUAACUCUGCCCUUAGAGGAAGAUCAAGGGUCUAACUCAGAGCUUCAAGGCUCUCAGUUUUGUACAGCUAUCUAUUUGCUUAGAUAUUAAUCUCAAGAGAGAUGUAUUUGGCUGCUGUUGCUCUAGGUAAAAACAAUCUCAUGUGGUUUCAUGUUAUGUGCUUUAAGAACAGAUGUAUGAGUCACUCUCUGAUCACGUGAAAAGGGUUAUACCAGGGAAUCAGUCUAGUUCUCUAAGAUAGUCAUUCAGUUUUAAUUUAUUUCUUUUCAUGGAAAUAGAUUUUAUAAACUUUCUAUCUUCAACAGAAAAUAAAUACAAUUUACCUAAUGUGAAUAAUAAUUAAUUUCAUUUACAUAAGUGUAUUUUCCCAAUAAAUUUAUUGUUGGUAAGG
ensembl:lncRNA